rnacentral:lncRNA from 1 species
UGCCUGUGCAGGUGUGGGAGCUGGCACAGUAGGUGAGCAGGUGUGGGGGAGAGCACAGUAGGUUAGCAGGUGUGGGGGAGAGCAUAGUAGGUGAGCAGGUAUGGUUGAUGAACAAAUGAAUCUGCCGUGGCUGGAUUUCCAUGACAAGCCAUGGAAAAGAAGUGAAGAAGGCAAAGACUGCAGAGGGUCUCUCCUAUCUACCGCCAAGGGGCCAACCCGCUUCAAACAUACAACUUCCCCUCUACCCAGGGAGGCUCAGCCAGUUUUAUGUGGGCACAAGGCACCUUGUAGAUGGUAAUAAUGCUGGCAAGAUGGUAAUGGUGAAGAAGAUGAUGAUGGAGAUAGUAACAGUGUUUACGGUGAGAAUAGUAACGGGAGAGGGUGUGAUGAGAGCAGUGGUGGAGAUGAUGAUGGAGAUGAUGGAGAAGAUGAUGCAGAUGAUGAUGGAGAAGAUGGAGAUGGUGAUGGAGAUGAUGGAGAUGGUGAUGAUAAUGAUGGUGGUGAUGGCAGAAAUGACAGUGGAGAUGAUGAUGGGGCUUGUGGUGG